rnacentral:rRNA from 1 species
GUGAACUCGAAGAGUAGGGCGGGACACGUGGUAUCCUGUCUGAAUAUGGGGGGACCAUCCUCCAAGGCUAAAUACUCCUGACUGACCGAUAGUGAACCAGUACCGUGAGGGAAAGGCGAAAAGAACCCCGGCGAGGGGAGUGAAAAAGAACCUGAAACCGUGUACGUACAAGCAGUGGGAGCACCUUCGGGUGUGACUGCGUACCUUUUGUAUAAUGGGUCAGCGACUUAUAUUCUGUAGCAAGGUUAACCGUAUAGGGGAGCCGCAGGGAAACCGAGUCUUAACUGGGCGUUAAGUUGCAGGGUAUAGACCCGAAACCCGGUGAUCUAGCCAUGGGCAGGUUGAAGGUUGGGUAACACUAACUGGAGGACCGAACCGACUAAUGUUGAAAAAUUAGCGGAUGACUUGUGGCUGGGGGUGAAAGGCCAAUCAAACCGGGAGAUAGCUGGUUCUCCCCGAAAGCUAUUUAGGUAGCGCCUCGUGAACUCAUCUUCGGGGGUAGAGCACUGUUUCGGCUAGGGGGUCAUCCCGACUUACCAACCCGAUGCAAACUACGAAUACCGAAGAAUGUUAUCACGGGAGACACACGGCGGGUGCUAACGUCCGUCGUGAAGAGGGAAACAACCCAGACCGCCAGCUAAGGUCCCAAAGUCAUGGUUAAGUGGGAAACGAUGUGGGAAGGCACAGACAGCCAGGAUGUUGGCUUAGAAGCAGCCAUCAUUUAAAGAAAGCGUAAUAGCUCACUGGUCGAGUCGGCCUGCGCGGAAGAUGUAACGGGGCUAAACCAUGCACCGAAGCUGCGGCAGCGACACUAUGUGUUGUUGGGUAGGGGAGCGUUCUGUAAGCCUGCGAAGGUGUGCUGUGAGGCAUGCUGGAGGUAUCAGAAGUGCGAAUGCUGACAUAAGUAACGAUAAAGCGGGUGAAAAGCCCGCUCGCCGGAAGACCAAGGGUUCCUGUCCAACGUUAAUCGGGGCAGGGUGAGUCGACCCCUAAGGCGAGGCCGAAAGGCGUAGUCGAUGGGAAACAGGUUAAUAUUCCUGUACUUGGUGUUACUGCGAAGGGGGGACGGAGAAGGCUAUGUUAGCCGGGCGACGGUUGUCCCGGUUUAAGCAUGUAGGCUGAUUGUCCAGGCAAAUCCGGAUAAUCAAGGCUGAGGUGUGAUGACGAGGCACUACGGUGCUGAAGUAACAAAUGCCCUGCUUCCAGGAAAAGCCUCUAAGCAUCAGGUAACAUUAAAUCGUACCCCAAACCGACACAGGUGGUCAGGUAGAGAAUACCAAGGCGCUUGAGAGAACUCGGGUGAAGGAACUAGGCAAAAUGGUGCCGUAACUUCGGGAGAAGGCACGCUGGUGUGUAGGUGAAGNUGGAGCUGAGACCAGUCGAAGAUACCAGCUGGCUGCAACUGUUUAUUAAAAACACAGCACUGUGCAAACACGAAAGUGGACGUAUACGGUGUGACGCCUGCCCGGUGCCGGAAGGUUAAUUGAUGGGGUUAUCCGUAAGGAGAAGCUCUUGAUCGAAGCCCCGGUAAACGGCGGCCGUAACUAUAACGGUCCUAAGGUAGCGAAAUUCCUUGUCGGGUAAGUUCCGACCUGCACGAAUGGCGUAAUGAUGGCCAGGCUGUCUCCACCCGAGACUCAGUGAAAUUGAACUCGCUGUGAAGAUGCAGUGUACCCGCGGCAAGACGGAAAGACCCCGUGAACCUUUACUAUAGCUUGACACUGAACAUUGAGCCUUGAUGUGUAGGAUAGGUGGGAGGCUUUGAAGCGUGGACGCCAGUCUGCGUGGAGCCAACCUUGAAAUACCACCCUUUAAUGUUUGAUGUUCUAACGUUGGCCCCUUACCGGGGUUGCGGACAGUGUCUGGUGGGUAGUUUGACUGGGGCGGUCUCCUCCCAAAGCGUAACGGAGGAGCACGAAGGUUAGCUAAUCCUGGUCGGACAUCAGGAGGUUAGUGCAAUGGCAUAAGCUAGCUUGACUGCGAGCGUGACGGCGCGAGCAGGUGCGAAAGCAGGUCAUAGUGAUCCGGUGGUUCUGAAUGGAAGGGCCAUCGCUCAACGGAUAAAAGGUACUCCGGGGAUAACAGGCUGAUACCGCCCAAGAGUUCAUAUCGACGGCGGUGUUUGGCACCUCGAUGUCGGCUCAUCACAUCCUGGGGCUGAAGUAGGUCCCAAGGGUAUGGCUGUUCGCCAUUUAAAGUGGUACGCGAGCUGGGUUUAGAACGUCGUGAGACAGUUCGGUCCCUAUCUGCCGUGGGCGCUGGAGAAUUGAGGGGGGCUGCUCCUAGUACGAGAGGACCGGAGUGGACGCAUCACUGGUGUUCGGGUUGUCAUGCCAAUGGCACUGCCCGGUAGCUAAAUGCGGAAGAGAUAAGUGCUGAAAGCAUCUAAGCACGAAACUUGCCCCGAGAUGAGUUCUCCCUGAGACUUUAAGUCUCCUGAAGGAACGUUGAAGACGACGACGUUGAUAGGCCGGGUGUGUAAGCGCAGCGAUGCGUUGAGCUAACCGGUACUAAUGAACCGUGAGGCUUAACCUU